rnacentral:rRNA from 1 species
GACGAACGCUGGCGGCGUGCCUAAUACAUGCAAGUCGAGCGAAUGGAUUAAGAGCUUGCUCUUAUGAAGUUAGCGGCGGACGGGUGAGUAACACGUGGGUAACCUGCCCAUAAGACUGGGAUAACUCCGGGAAACCGGGGCUAAUACCGGAUAACAUUUUGAACCGCAUGGUUCGAAAUUGAAAGGCGGCUUCGGCUGUCACUUAUGGAUGGACCCGCGUCGCAUUAGCUAGUUGGUGAGGUAACGGCUCACCAAGGCAACGAUGCGUAGCCGACCUGAGAGGGUGAGCGGCCACACUGGGACUGAGACACGGCCCAGACUCCUACGGGAGGCAGCAGUAGGGAAUCUUCCGCAAUGGACGAAAGUCUGACGGAGCAACGCCGCGUGAGUGAUGAAGGCUUUCGGGUCGUAAAACUCUGUUGUUAGGGAAGAACAAGUGCUAGUUGAAUAAGCUGGCACCUCGACGGUACCUAACCAGAAAGCCACGGCUAACUACGUGCCAGCCGCCGCAGUAA